CUGGUGUGAAAGACCGCAGUUCAACUGCGGGAGCGCGCUGAGAACUGUGUAUCUAGAGUUCAAGAGGGGAAGCUGGAAUUCCUGGUGCAGGGGUGAAAUCUGUAGAUAUCAGGAAGAACAUCAGUGGCGAAGGCGAGCUUCUGGCUAUGAACUGACGCUGAGGCGCGAAAGCGUGGGGAGCGAACAGGAUUAGAUACCCUGGUAGUCCACGCUGUAAACGAUGUGCACUAGGUGUCGGGUCGUUGAAGAUUCGGUGCCGUAGCUAACGCGUUAAGUGCACCGCCUGGGGAGUAUGCUCGCAAGGGUGAAACUCAGAGGAAUUGACGGGGGCCCGCACAAGCGGUGGAGCAUGUGGUUUAAUUCGAUGAUACGCGAGAAACCUUACCAGGGCUUGACAUAUGCAGGAAUGCGCAUGAGAGUGCGCAGCCCUUCGGGGCCUGCAUACAGGUGCUGCAUGGCCGUCGUCAGCUCGUGCCGUGAGGUGUUGGGUUAAGUCCCGCAACGAGCGCAA
rnacentral:rRNA from 1 species